rnacentral:rRNA from 1 species
ACUCCUACGGGAGGCUGCAGUGGGGAAUAUUGCACAAUGGGCGCAAGCCUGAUGCAGCGACGCCGCGUGAGGGAUGAAGGCCUUCGGGUUGUAAACCUCUUUCAGUAGGGAAGAAGCGAAAGUGACGGUACCUGCAGAAGAAGCGCCGGCUAACUACGUGCCAGCAGCCGCGGUAAUACGUAGGGCGCAAGCGUUAUCCGGAAUUAUUGGGCGUAAAGAGCUCGUAGGCGGUUUGUCGCGUCUGCCGUGAAAGUCCGGGGCUUAACUCCGGAUCUGCGGUGGGUACGGGCAGACUUGAGUGAUGUAGGGGAGACUGGAAUUCCUGGUGUAGCGGUGAAAUGCGCAGAUAUCAGGAGGAACACCGAUGGCGAAGGCAGGUCUCUGGGCAUUAACUGACGCUGAGGAGCGAAAGCAUGGGGAGCGAACAGGAUUAGAUACCCUGGUAGUCCAUGCCGUAAACGUUGGGCACUAGGUGUGGGGGACAUUCCACGUUUUCCGCGCCGUAGCUAACGCAUUAAGUGCCCCGCCUGGGGAGUACGGCCGCAAGGCUAAAACUCAAA